rnacentral:tRNA from 1 species
CCUACAAAGGAAGAUUCAUUAGUUCUAUUUAAGAUUCUUAUUCAAGAUCCGUUAUUAUUAUUAUAUUUAUAA